GACGAACGCUGGCGGCGUGCUUAACACAUGCAAGUCGAACGGUAAGGCCCUUCGGGGUACACGAGUGGCGAACGGGUGAGUAACACGUGGGUGAUCUACCCUGCCCUUCGGGAUAAGCCUGGGAAACUGGGUCUAAUACCGGAUAGGACCACUGCCUGCAUGGGUGGUGGUGGAAAGCUUUUGCGGUGUGGGAUGGGCCCGCGGCCUAUCAGCUUGUUGGUGGGGUGAUGGCCUACCAAGGCGACGACGGGUAGCCGGCCUGAGAGGGUGACCGGCCACACUGGGACUGAGAUACGGCCCAGACUCCUACGGGAGGCAGCAAUGGGGAAUAUUGCACAAUGGGCGCAAGCCUGAUGCAGCGACGCCGCGUGAGGGAUGACGGCCUUCGGGUUGUAAACCUCUUUCAGCACCGACGAAGCGCAAGUGACGGUAGGUGCAGAAGAAGGACCGGCCAACUACGUGCCAGCCGCCGCAGUAA
rnacentral:rRNA from 1 species